UAUAUAUAUAUAUAUAAAUGGCAGCAGAGGCUGUCAUCAAGGGCCACUCUGGGGUUGGUGACAGUACCAUGCCCCUUUUCCAGAUGAGCAAACGGAGGUCCACAGGGGUUAAAAGGUCUCACUGCAAACCAGAAACUGGAUGAGGAAGAUUCAGAUUGAGGUCGAUAAUAUAGCAAGACCCCAUCUCUACAAAAUCUAAAAAAAUGAGCCAGGCGUGGUGGUGCACGAUUGUGGUCUCAGCUACUUGGGAGGUUGAGGUGGGAGGAUUUUGCUCGAGGCUUGCAGGGAGCCGUGAUCAUGUCACUGCACUCCAGCCUGGGCGACGGAGUGAGACCUUGUCUUAAAACAAUAACAAAAAACAAAAUGCUGUGCCGGGUGAGAUGGCUCACGCCUGUAAUCCCAGCACUUCAGGUGGCCGAGGCAGGAGGAUCCCUUGAGGCCAGGAGUUCGAAACCAGCCUGGGUAACAUGGUGAAACCCCAUCUACUAAAAAUACAAAAAUGAGCCGGGCAUGGUGGUGUGCACCUGUAGUCCCAGCUACUCGGGAGGCUGAGGCAGGAGAAUCACUUGAACCCGGGAGGUGGAGGUUGCAGUGAACAGAAAUCGAGCCACUGCACUCCAGCCUGGUCGACAGAGCGAGACUGUCUUAAAAAAAAAACAAACAAACGUUAAAAAGAAGAUUCAGAUUGGGCCAUGCGGCCAGGGGUUUGUUCAACCCCCAUCUGUGCUGUGCCUUCCAGGGGGACCAGGCUGGGCGAGUUUGGGGCCCAGCAAUGAGCUCUCCAGGGAAGGAGGGAGGGUGGAGAUAGAGACGGGAGUCCAUGGCGAUCCUAGGAGGGUGAACCCCCAACUGGGUACAGAGGGGUUACACGUGGUGUGGGUGAUGGGGUUGCUGCAAUGACCAGAAGGCCCUAGGGGCUUAAAAAUGGGGUUUGUCUGUGGUGCCAGCCCCAGCUCUGCUUCCGCACCCCAAAUUGUCCCCGCUGGGCCGCACACACUCCCACACAAUAAUAACGGUCGGGGCCUUUUCAUCUAUCGAGCUAUUUGAUCGUGUGAUGACUCAAUGAGACGUUUCUAUAAUUAUCCCACUGUACAGGAUCACAGUGACGCAGUGGCGGAGGUAGUGUGAUCUCUGCGAUCUCAGCUGACCCCUACAGGUUGUGUUAGCGCUGGGCAGGUUAGCAGGGGACCUGGCAUCGCGUCCGUCAUGCUGGGUGACCUUGGUGAGGCUCUAUCCCUCUAUGGGCUUGUCCACUUACUCUCCCAAUAAAUACAGUGUAGCCGGUGGUGUGUUGGGGCCUGGGCAGACCGUACACACAGGAGGGAGCAGAUAGUAUGUGUUCCCAGAGCCACGAGGCCUCGGAAGACUGAGGGAAGCUGAGCAGGUAGGAGGAGGGGAGCUACUCUAGCCAGGCUGGCCUCUCUAGGAUGUGAUGUUUGAUCUGAAAGGAAGAGAAAGGCUGGCCGUGGUUCAGGCAGAGGGAACAACCAAUGCAGUGCAGAGGUCUUGAGGCUAGACUCUGGUUUGAGGAAGAGGGAGAAGGCCUGUGUGGCUGGAACAGAGGGGGAGAAGUGGGAGGAGGUGAGAGGAGGGAGGCGAUGGAAGUCAGAUCACAUAGACAGAGGUAGGGAGUUUGGAUUUUAUGUUGAGGGCAAUAGGGAGCUAUGGAAGGUUCUUGAGCAAGGGAGGGAUGGACUCUGAUUCACUUUUUUUUUUUUUUUUUUUGGAGUGGGGAAAGGAUAGAGUUUUGCUCUUCUUGGCCAGCCUGGAGUGCAAUGGCACGGUCUCAGCUCACUGCAACCUCCGCCUCCCGGGUUCAAGCAAUUCUGUCUCAGCCUCCCAAGCAGCUACAGGUGCCCGCCACCACACCCAGCUAAUUUUUUUUUUUUAAUUUUUAUUUUUUUUUUG
rnacentral:lncRNA from 10 species